UGUUAAACAGGUGGUAGCCAGCGAGACAUAACGAAAGAAACGAGACAACUAGCAAGGCAAUGAUAGUAAUGGUAUCUAGGAAAAUGGUCAUCUUGCCUGUGAUCCCGCUUGAAAAAAGAAUGACUCCAUGAAGCAAACGAACCACGUAGUCAAACAGAUCCUCACACUCCGAAGCGGUUCAGAACUCUGUCGAGAAGAAGCAACUCGGAAACAAGAAUUAACACACGGUAUUCACCACGGCACAUGGACGACAUGAUGAACAACACAUAUGAUACAUGAUCGAUUUAAUUAUGCAAGGCAUGGCAUGGCAAUUCACAACAAUCAAACAC
rnacentral:lncRNA from 1 species